rnacentral:rRNA from 1 species
GACGAACGCUGGCGGCGUGCUUAACACAUGCAAGUCGAACGGAAAGGCCCUGCUUUUGUGGGGUGCUCGAGUGGCGAACGGGUGAGUAACACGUGAGUAACCUGCCCUUGACUUUGGGAUAACUUCAGGAAACUGGGGCUAAUACCGGAUAGGAGCUCCUGCUGCAUGGUGGGGGUUGGAAAGUUUCGGCGGUUGGGGAUGGACUCGCGGUUUAUUAGCUUGUGGGUGGGGUAGUGGCUUACCAAGGCAUUGACGGGUAGCCGGCCUGAGAGGGUGACCGGCCACAGUGGGACUGAGACUCGGCCCCGGCUCCGACUGGAGGCAGCAGUGGGGAUUAGUGCACAAUGGGCGGAAGCCUGAUGCAGCAACGCCGCGUGCGGGAUGACGGCCUUCGGUUUGUAAACCGCUUUCGCCUGUGACGAAGCGUGAGUGACGGUAAUGGGUAAAGAAGCACCGGCUAACUACGUG